AGGAGCCUUCUCAGACUGUCAGAGAGGACACUUGUAAGCAUCCUCCCGAGCAUCCUCCUUAUCUUGACCAUGUCCUGACUUGAUCCCUUCUACUUGUGUGCCCACAUCAGAUCAUCAGGAUGAUGUCAUGAUGCAACCCAUGAUGCCAUAGACAAGAGCCACUCCCCCUUCACUCCUUUCUAUCCUCUUCCAAUCUAUUUUUAACCUGCCUUUUUUAUGGAGAAGACAUGUUCUGCCUUUCUACGUUUUUUCCCCUUUUUGGUAUUUUUUUUUAGCACAAAACAUUUUAGAAACAUGAUAUAGGCUUUACCUUCCCAUUGUACAGUGUUAUAUUGCUGCAGUAAAAUGCCCCAGGAUGGUCUUGUAUUUAUCCCUGUUCAUUUUAAAUUUUACCUUCAUAAAACAUUACGUUGAUUCUGUGUAGAUACAAAUAUCUUUUGGCUCGUCAGAACUUAAUGGUGAACAACUAAUAUGUGACCGUCAUGAUAGGGUUCCACCAACAGAGGGCAGUUUUACUUGCUGUUUAGCAGAGUAGUAGAGUGGAACAGAGUUUCUGUAUGUCUCCCGAAGGAAAUUAUAGUCUAACAUCUUAGACAUAAUACAAGGCACAAGUAAUACACAUUGCAAGAUGGAUCAAAUUGCACAGUCACACAAUCCCAGACAUACAGACGAUACAAAGGGUCAAACAUAAAACAAACAAACAUUUACUAUAAUAGAAUGAGUUGAAUACUAGGGUGGAAUAAGGUAGAAUAUUGUGGCCUAUUUAUGAUUGCAUAUAAGGCUCUCUGAGUAGCCUAGUGCUAUUUUCGAAAAUGCUAUUUUUAUCUUGCCUCUUGGGUAAUGUCAGUGAAGUCACCGCAAAUGCUGUCAAUAAAUGUUGUCCGCAGUUAAGCUCA